GAGUUUGAUCCUGGCUCAGGAUGAACGCUGGCGGCGUGCUUAAUACAUGCAAGUCGAACGGAGAGUAGUAAUAUUCUUAGUGGCGAACGGGUGAGUAACGCGUGGGUGACCUGCCCCGAAGUGUGGGAUAACAGCUCGAAAGGGCUGCUAAUACCGCAUGAGGUCUUGCGGUUUAGAAGCGCAAGACGAAAGGAGCAAUCCGCUUCGGGAGGGGCCUGCGUCCCAUCAGCUAGUUGGUAAGGUAACGGCUUACCAAGGCGACGACGGGUAGGGGACCUGAGAGGGUGACCCCCCACACUGGCACUGAAACACGGGCCAGACACCUACGGGUGGCAGCAGUAGGGAAUAUUGCACAAUGGGCGCAAGCCUGAUGCAGCAACGCCGCGUGCGCGAUGAAGGCCUUCGGGUCGUAAAGCGCUUUUCUGGAGGACGAGGAAGGACGGUACUCCAGGAAGAAGGAUCGGCUAACUACGUGCCAGCAGCCGCGGUAAAACGUAGGAUCCGAGCGUUAUCCGAAUUCACUGGGCGUAAAGCGCGUGCAGGCGGCCCGAUAAGUUAGGUGUGAAACCUCCCGGCUCAACUGGGAGAGGACGCUUAAGACUGUCGGGCUCGAGGGUGGUAGAGGGAGGUGGAAUUCCCGGUGUAGUGGUGAAAUGCGUAGAUAUCGGGAGGAACACCAGUGGCGAAAGCGGCCUCCUGGACCACAUCUGACGCUCAGACGCGAAAGCUAGGGGAGCAAACGGGAUUAGAAACCCCGGUAGUCCUAGCCGUAAACGAUGUAGACCUGGCGUCGGUGGGGUAAAAGCCAUCGGUGCCGAAGCCAACGCGAUAAGUCUACCGCCUGGGGACUACGGCCGCAAGGUUAAAACUCAAAGGAAUUGACGGGGGCCCGCACAAGCAGCGGAGCGUGUGGUUUAAUUCGAUGCUACACGAAGAACCUUACCCGGGUUUGACAUGCCAGUAGUAGGGAAGCGAAAGCGGACCGACCCUUCGGGGAGCUGGCACAGGUGCUGCAUGGCUGUCGUCAGCUCGUGUCGUGAGAUGUCCGGUUAAGUCCGGUAACGAGCGCAACCCCUGCGACGUGUUAUACGUGUCACGUCGGACUGCCGGUAUCAAGCCGGAGGAAGGUGGGGAUGACGUCAAGCCAGCAUGGCCUUUAUGCCCGGGGCUACACACACGCUACAAUGGCCAGCACAAUGGGUCGCAAAGCCGCAAGGUGGAGCCAAUCCUCAAAGCUGGUCUCAGUUCGGAUUGCAGGCUGCAACCCGCCUGCAUGAAGCUGGAGUUGCUAGUAACCGCGCGUCAGCAGUAGUGCGGUGAAUACGUUCCCGGGCCUUGUACACACCGCCCGUC
rnacentral:rRNA from 1 species